AUAUGUCUGUGUGUGUGCGCGCGCGCGUGCGUGUGUGUGUGUGUGUGUGUGUAUAUAUAUAUACACGCACAUAUACACACACAGACAUAUAUAUCAACGUAUUUUGCUAUAACGAUAUUCUUUGAUUCACGGAGUGAUAAUUGCAACUCUAAAUAUCUGUAACGUGCAACUUUACAAAUAUUCAACCCGAUAAUAACUAUAAUACAUUAUAAUCGAUCGAGCAAAUACGUAAUUAGGGAGCUUUCGCUUACAGCCGGCAUCUGGCUCCGGCAUUAUAAAAUGAUCAGUGGAUGCGAGCAUCCAAGACGACCGGUAAAAACCUGAAAUCCCUUUGUCCGAGUGUUAUCUCCAACGAAAGUCGAAAACGUUUUAUAACUAAAAAAAGAUAUGGCAACGUUGCUCCGAUCACUUCGAUAUACACGCAGCGAAUCAUGCAACGAACCAUCAGUCAGAGUGAUUUGGGAUUGGCUGGUGGAGUUGCUAGAAAACGAUCGAGUAGAAAAGCCUCAUGUUCGAAGAUCGCAAAUCGCAUAAUAUGAAUCUGCUCUGUCUAUGUUUUGAUGCAUUUGAAAGAUUUUAGUGCUUUCAUUGUUGAUUUCCAAGUCAGAAUUACGCUCCUUAUUACAGCUUGUAUAAUGGAUAACGAUGACGAUAUUCUUCAAGAAAUUCGUAUGAAGCUAUCUAUUCAUUGUUACAGAAGAUUUAAACAAAUAUUCAUUCAAAAGCCAUAAUGAUGUUUUUCUCCUACUAGUAUGCAGAAGUUUUGAAGGAAAUUCUAGAAUGCCCAGUCUGUUAUGAAUUGCCAAAAGGAAUAAUAGCUAUGUGCAAUGAAGGGCAUCACAUAUGUUCAAAUUGUAUGUCUUUGCUCAAAGAAAAAUGUCCUACAUGUCAAAGGAGCUAUGGUAGUUGUAGAAAUUAUGUGGCUGAAUGCUUUGCAGUAAAUUUGAAGAUAUCAAAAGCUCUAUACUAAAUCCUCAUCAUGCUUCAAAUAGGCAAGUUCUAAAAAAUAAAGUUUCCGUUGAAGUGCAAACAGAGCUUACGUAUUCAAACUGUUCAUUAGAGAAGCAAAGUAGUAACUUUUUAAUUAAUAUGAAAGUUGAUGGUUCACAAGAGGAUUGUUCUCUUCCAAAUUCUCAAACAAUUAAUUCGAACAAAUCUACAAAUAUGAAUAAAUCACUCACAUUUCAAGUUCCAAAAAGAUCACGUAUUAAAAUGAAAAAAAAGUAGAAAAGGAUCAAAUUCACCAAACUCUUGAAGUCCAGAUAAUACGUCUUUAUUCGUGUAAACAAAAUAUCUAUAUUCAUAAAAUAAUAUAUAGCAGUCAAAAGUUAAUUCACAUCAGAUGAAUAUGUAGGAUACAAGUUAACACACAAAUUUAAAAUUGUAACGCUCAGAAGAUCACGAGUUUUUGAUUAAAAAUGCAUUAGUUUAACUUUGUUAUGAUUUUAUCAAUACAUGAAAAAAGACAGUAAAAGUUAAGUUAAACGUGAA